rfam:Felis catus isolate Cinnamon breed Abyssinian chromosome A1, whole genome shotgun sequence.
CCACAGGCUUUUUUUAAAAAAGGGGAAAAAAAGCCACCUUCCUUAAUUAGGAAAAUAAAU